GGCAAGGGGCAGCGGGCAGAGUUCAGUCCUUGGGUGUCCGGCCCCGAAGCCCACCUCCCUCUCAGCAGGGGCACUGCCUCUGGACACGUGCAGGUACGAAGGCAGCCGGCACAGCCAAGCCCUUGUCUCGGGGCUCCCACCUGCCGAGACCAGCCAGCAGGUCGACCUUCCUGCUCACCCUCCGAUCUCUUCCGGCUCAGUCUGGGUUUGACCUCAGCCUCUCCUGUUGCAGUUUAAAUUGGAGCCUGUGUGCAAGUCCCCCUUCAUGGCCGGGGGCUGGGGGUGCAGGGUAGUUGGCCUUCACAGCCCAGCUCCACGCUAUUUGCCCCCCUGGCGGGGACAUCACAAGCCAGACGGAGGACGUUCCCAGCACCGUGCCCUGGUCCGCGCCCCGCAGACCCUGGCCGGGGCACUCCCCAUUAGAUUAAACGGCAUUUACGGCAGCUGUCCUGCGGUAUUAAUGUCAGAUUUCCACGCUGUGCUCCUCCCCCGACUCCACUGCCCUGGCCCCUGCCAGCCAGCAGACCAAGUGACCUCUGGGCUCUUCUGAACCCUGGGCUGGCUUCGGUCAGAGGCUCUGCCACGUCCCAGAUGGCCGUCACCGAUGCCUGUGUCUCCUGUCUCCCCGGGGACAGACACGGCUUCCCACAGGCUUACUCGAAGCGGACGGCACGAGUUCAUUCCAUCGUCUUUGCUGAGCACCUUCUAGGCGCAUGAGCGGUGGAAGUGAUGGCAGUGAAUGUAUUAGAUAAACAAACAGAUACCCCAAACCCUGUCUGGCUGGAGCGGAUAGUUGAACAGCAACCGCAGAACUGAUAAUGUGUCUGGGGUGCCUGGUAUGUUGGAGCCACAGUGAAACUGGAGAGGAAGAUGAACGCGAGCUUCAGACGUGAUACCCAGAGGCAGGCUCUCUGAUGCCUGACCUGCAGCCUCUGCGUGUGGGCAUCUUGCAGGAGCAUCACUCACCUGGGAUGUCAGGGCACACAGGCCUGAAGCUGUCUCCUGGGAACUGGCUUCCCUUCACCUCCGAGGCACUCCCCCGAGUCCCCAUCGCCCCGCCAGGCAGGGAAAGGGCGCCUCAGUCUCCCCCACCACCUCCACAGCUGUGCCCAUUCUCCACGGCACACUCUUCCACAUCCCCGAGAGAUGGAGCGUCUCUGGCAGCCCCGCCAGGCUACCGUCCCCUCACUCCAGGCCCAGAACUGGCCUGGCUUCCUGGACGGCAGCUGGCAGGGGCUCAGGGGCAGGGGGAUGAAAGAGACCCGAGUGAGUCCUCGGAGACCCCAGCCUGCCUCCCCAGGCCCUGAGGCAGCUGUGCUCAAACCUGGCACAGCUGGGGUCUAUGGGGCUGCUGUCUGAUACACCCUCCUGCCCCGGGAAACACCCGUCUUCUCCCACCGGACCCUUCAUGGUCUGACUGGUCCCUGUCACUGGACUGCAUGGGAAAGCAGCCUGGAAUCCCUAAAACAGAGGUUUCCGGGGUGCAGACAGCAGAACCACAGGGAGGCACCUGAUGCAGGGCCGUCUUUGGGCACAUCCGUGCGCCGCGGCUGACAGGGAAGCACAGCAGCCCAGUGGGGGCUUCCCCGGUGGCUCAGCGGUAAAGAAGCCAACACAGGAGACCCAGCUUCGAUCCCCGGGUCGGGAAGAUUCCCCUGGAGGAGGAAAGGGCAACCCCCUCCAGUGUUCCUGCCUGGGAGACCCCACGGACAGGGGAGAUGGGCGGGCUACAGUCCAUGGGGUCGCAGAGAGUCGGACACAACUGAGCAACAUUAGAGCAGAGGUGGAUGGUGACCCGGCCCCCGGGACACGCCGGAUAAAACGCCCUGAGAAGCACCGUCUGGGACAUCCUGGCCCAUAACGCCGCACCUUCUUCAAGAGAUUCGUGCUGGAGGUCAGUCAGCAAAGAAAUUGACGGGCAUGCUCUUAAAACAUAAACCCAGUGACAAAAGCCCCAAGACGAGCCCCAGGUUGGUAGAGACAAAGGCUGCUCUAAGACAUCUGAACACACCAGGGCUGGAACGGUUCUUCAAAAACCAAGACACUCAGAAGUUGCAACUCAGCUCAGCGUUCUCCCCUCCUGCUAAGAUCCCCCUAAAAUAUCUGAGGAGAAGAGAGGAGAGGAGAUGGUUUUCCCAGCUUCGGGCCACCCUGGAGGGGUAUGAGUCAGCUGUGACGGGACAAAGCUUCUGUCCGGUACCGAGAUGAACCGCUGGCUGGCUGACUUCCGGGCUCCCUCUCA
ensembl:lncRNA